rnacentral:rRNA from 1 species
AGUGAACGCUGGCGGUAGGCCUAGCACAUGCAAGUCGAACGGCAGCACAGUAAGAGCUUGCUCUUACGGGUGGCGAGUGGCGGACGGGUGAGGAAUACAUCGGAAUCUACUUUUUCGUGGGGGAUAACGUAGGGAAACUUACGCUAAUACCGCAUACGACCUACGGGUGAAAGCAGGGGAUCUUCGGACCUUGCGCGAUUGAAUGAGCCGAUGUCGGAUUAGCUAGUUGGCGGGGUAAAGGCCCACCAAGGCGACGAUCCGUAGCUGGUCUGAGAGGAUGAUCAGCCACACUGGAACUGAGACACGGUCCAGACUCCUACGGGAGGCAGCAGUGGGGAAUAUUGGACAAUGGGCGCAAGCCUGAUCCAGCCAUACCGCGUGGGUGAAGAAGGCCUUCGGGUUGUAAAGCCCUUUUGUUGGGAAAGAAAAGCAGCAGGUUAAUACCCCGCUGUUCUGACGGGACCCAAAGAAUAAGCACCGGCUAACUUCGU